GGGUUUAUAAUGUAAAAGCAUACCUUUCCUGCAAAAAGGAAGUUUAUAAUCCA
rnacentral:tRNA from 1 species